UGCCCGCUCCCUCAGUUGUUAGCCUUUGGAGAGGUUAAGUACGUGAAUUGUUGAAGGGAACGCUUGCAGCCAGACUUGUCCGCCGUUGCUCAGCCGGUCUCCUGACCGGUGUACUCUUCUGCGGCCUGCCAGCAUCAGUUCGGGCGGUCGGAUAAAGACCUCGGGAAUGUACUCCUCUCGGGGAGUGUUUAGCCCGGGGUGGAUGCGGCCGCCUGGACUGAGGACUCGCUUCGGCUAGGAUGCUGGGUAUGGCUGUAGCGCCCGUCUUGAACACGGACAAGACUCUAUUACAAUAAACGGGGGGGGGG
rnacentral:rRNA from 1 species